UCCGCGAUAGCUCAGUUGGUAGAGCAAAUGACUGUUAAUCAUUGGGUCCCUGGUUCGAGUCCAGGUCGUGGAGCAA
rnacentral:tRNA from 1 species